rnacentral:rRNA from 1 species
CCCUUAGAUGUUCUGGGCCGCACGCGCGCUACACUGAUGCAUUCAACGAGUCUAAAACCUGGUCUGAUAGGGCUGGGUAAUCUUUUGAAUGUGCAUCGUGAUUGGGAUAGAUGAUUGCAAUUCUUCAUCUUCAACGAGGAAUGCCUAGUAAACGCAAGUCAUCAGCUUGCACUGAUUACGUCCCUGCCCUUUGUACACACCGCCCGUCGCUACUACCGAUUGAAUGGUUUAGUGAGAUCUCUGGAUUGACGCUGGCUAGGGGGCGACCCUUGGCCAGGCUGUCGAGAAACUGCUCAAACUUGAUCAUUUAGAGGAAGUAAAAGUCGUAACA